GGAGAAUUGCUUGAUUUGGAAGCUUCAAUUUCGAAGAAUUGAAUGGGGGAAGCCGCUGAAUAUUUCUCCAAAGACUUCGAAUGGGAGGAUCUUCGCGUUCGGGUCGAGAACGACCCGCUUUUGCAGUACCAUUUGCUUCCAUUUGAGCCCUGCAAUUCCAUUCCUUCAGUUUCUCCAGAAGCCGAUUCGGACGCAUGGAGCCGCUUUCACCUUCG
rnacentral:misc_RNA from 1 species